ensembl:lncRNA
AUAGAUAGAUAGAUAGAUAGAUAAAGGUAAAUAUGUGCUGCAAGUUUUCUUGGAAGCUGUAGGAGUCUUAAAAACUCACUUUUUGUGGCUUUAAUAUCUCUUUACUCUGUAAAUUAUGAGCAUUAAUUCCAAAAAAGUGUAUUAUUCCUCAAAGUCAAGUUUACAGACUAUAUUUAACAGUGAAUCUAAGAAAAAACUUUUCACUAAGAGGAGGAAAAAAGAAGUCUACUGAUCUAAAAGGGAAGCAAAUUCUUUUACUUACACUUUUCCAGUAAAAAAAUUAUGGGGGCCCUGUGGAGAAAUAGCACUUUUGUGAACAUGGUUUGCAUUAUAAGUUGGGUGAGAAUGUUGGACACAAAAAAGAAAGAAUUGCAUACCCUCUCCCAGUCUUCCCUAAAAUCUCACCUCCUAGCACAAUUCAAAACUCCCUAAUACUCACUAUGCAUACAGUGAUAAUGAAUUGUUCUGGGGAAGAUAUAAACUAUCCAUAUUGUCCAGAAACUUUUCAAAAUGCAAAAUUACAUACAGUGGUCACAGUUGUCAGGUACAGAAGAAAUGUGGUAUAAAUUAUCUUCCCAUUUACAAAAGACUUUAUAGUUUUCAGUGUGUUUUGUUUGUUUGUUUGUUUGUUUUUCCUUCUGUUAUGCCUGGCCAUACCUAAUGGAUAAACCAAGAACAGAUUAUUCACUACCUAUUUCCAUAUUUAAAAUAUUUGAAGAUUUUUACCCAGUUCUACAUCAACUUUUUCUUCAGCUCUUUAACUUAACUCUUUUCUCAGUGAUCAUGCUUUCCCGACAUUUGAUCUUCCUUGUUGCUUUUGAAUCCUCAGCAAGUGCCUUAAGGCAGUUUUAUGCCCACUUUGAUGCAACAGAAGUAUGACUUAAAAGGAAGUCAGGCUCUCCCAUAUAUCUUUAUAUAUUUUAGGAUAAUAAAUAAUAGUGAUCCAUCUUUGCAUUGCACUUUGUAUUUGCAAGAUACUCUACAGACAUUAAUUAAUUUGUUCUCAUGGCCCUCCUGUGUGAUAGCUGUAAUAAAGCUUUACAGGGAUAUGGCACCUUUGAGAUAAGCUUCUUGGAUAAUUUUAAAAAUAGUAAUGAAUAUCCAAUCUAUUCAUACAUUAUUGCUCACAACAGGGUAAAAUAAGAGGUAAAUAGAAUUGUACGCUCUUUACAUUUAUCACAACAAAGACCCAGAGCUUUUUUUUUGGAUCGGCAUACUGGAGGUGACAUCCAUCUCAGGGUUGUGUGAAAUAGCACUGUUAGAAGGUGGUAUAAAUCCUAAGAGAUUAGGCUGUGCAUUAUUUUUCUUCUACUUUGCCAUACUUUGUAUGGAGAGAUGAUCAUUAAUAGAAAGAUUUUCCUCCUACAGCACCUGUUCUCUAGAUGGAUAGGCUUUUAGUUGGAAUCACCUAGAUCACCUAAUAGAUUAGUUUAAGCAUCUUCAAAAGUGUUAAAUAAAGUGAUAAGUAU